rnacentral:rRNA from 1 species
GACGUAGGAGGCGAGCGUUGUCCGGAUUCAUUGGGCGUAAAGAGCGCGCAGGCGGCUUGGUAAGUCGGAUGUGAAAUCCCGAGGCUCAACCUCGGGUCUGCAUCCGAUACUGCCCGGCUAGAGGUAGGUAGGGGAGAUCGGAAUUCCUGGUGUAGCGGUGAAAUGCGCAGAUAUCAGGAGGAACAUCCGUGGCGAAGGCGGCUCUCUGGGACGGUACUGACGCUGAGACGCGAAAGCGUGGGGAGCAAACAGG